rnacentral:rRNA from 1 species
GGAGGGGGCGAGCGUUAUUCGGAAUUAUUGGGCGUAAAGGGCGCGUAGGCGGCUGGUUAAGUCAAAGGUGAAAUCCCUCGGCUCAACUGGGGAACUGCCUUUGAAACUAGCGAGCUUGAGGCCGGGAGGGGGUAGCGGAAUUCCCAGUGUAGCGGUGAAAUGCGUAGAUAUUGGGAGGAACACCAGUGGCGAAGGCGGCUACCUGGACCGGUUCUGACGCUGAGGCGCGAAAGCGUGGGUAGCAAACAGGAUUAGAUACCCUGGUAGUCCACGCUGUAAACGAUGGGUGCUCGGUGUCGCGGGUAUCGACCCCUGCGGUGCCUUAGCUAACGCGUUAAGCACCCCGCCUGGGGAGUACGGUCGCAAGGCUG